AAGUUUCUGAAAAUUCUCUGAUAACAUUGGCAGAAAAUUGCUGUGAAUGUGUCAGUCCAAUGUUUCUCUCCUGGAUAACCAGGAAAAAUGAGAGGCUUAGCUGGACCUGAGGGGGAAACUACUUCAAUUCCCUGCCCACUGCCCUCCACUGUAGUGUUAUUCAUGGCUAGAUGUGGAUUGGACUUGGGACUCUACUACUGCAGAUUGCCUGAAAUAAAACAUUUUAAGAACUCUGACGUUAUGAGAAAUCAGAUGCCUCUAGCUGUUAGCAAUGGAUGCACAGAAAGAAGUGACUUAACCAAGGUCGUAUCUGAAGAUUCUCUUCAAAAACUUCCUGUGAAAAACAGACAGAUCAUUCAUUUUAA
rnacentral:lncRNA from 1 species